ACGAACGCUGGCGGCAUGCCUAACACAUGCAAGUCGAACGAAGUCUUCGGACUUAGUGGCGCACGGGUGCGUAACGCGUGGGAAUCUGCCCUUGGGUACGGAAUAACUCAGAGAAAUUUGUGCUAAUACCGUAUAAUGUCUUCGGACCAAAGAUUUAUCGCCCAAGGAUGAGCCCGCGUAAGAUUAGCUAGUUGGUGAGGUAAGAGCUCACCAAGGCGACGAUCUUUAGCUGGUCUGAGAGGAUGAUCAGCCACACUGGGACUGAGACACGGCCCAGACUCCUACGGGAGGCAGCAGUGGGGAAUAUUGGACAAUGGGCGAAAGCCUGAUCCAGCAAUGCCGCGUGAGUGAUGAAGGCCUUAGGGUUGUAAAGCUCUUUUACCCGGGAUGAUAAUGACAGUACCGGGAGAAUAAGCUCCGGCUAACUCCGU
rnacentral:rRNA from 1 species